CUGGAAUCCUGGCUGCUUCUCUCAGUUUGGCAGUCACGGCCCUUCUGUUUGUGAAUCUUCGCCGGCUCUGUCCUUUCCGACACCCGCCCGCUGUGUGCUCUGUGGACAUCUGGGCACGGGUCCAGAGCCUGGCGUUGGAGGCCCAAAUUCAGCUUUAUGCAGCAUUGGGGGCUGUAUGUCCAAGAGAAGUCCUGCUAUUGGAGCCUGGGACAAGGAUUUAACGAGCUUGUUUGGUCUAAAUCUGGAGGCAGAGGUCAGUGGCAGCAGGACAUCCGUCCCCCCUUGGGACUGCCCAGCCACUGACGGCAGAGGCUGGACCCGACAGGAGCAAUGCAGUGCACGGUGGCUGUCCCAGGCUGGAUGUGGACAUGCCAUUCUAGAUCACUUCAAGUGAUGUGAAGAGUUGAAAGGUAUGGAUCC
rnacentral:lncRNA from 1 species